GAACGGCGCCACCAAGUGUGGGUCUUUCAGAGGACGACUACAGCUGAGGGUUUCUGUGGUGGGACUCUAAUCAAUAAGAACUGGGUGUUGACUGCAGGACACUGUUACAAUAAAAGCAUUGCUGGACGUUUUUCAGUCUGGGCAGGUGUACAUCCUUAUAGAGAAUUCCAAAAGUUUGCCAUUAAGUCAGGUGACAUCCAUGUAUAUGAUGUCACUGAGGAUACAGGUGACAUCAUGCUGAUCAAACUUCCUGGAUCUGUAAGCUGCAGCUUGCUGGUCAUGGAUCUACUGUUGACCAAAAUGACAGUCCUGACCGCAACAAACCUCUGCAGUGUGUCGAGCUGAAAGUGAGACACUGUAUUGAUCGCAGGGAAAACUAUUUCUGUGGUGAAGGUCGGACUGGUAAACACGUCAGCCAUGUCUCCGAGGGGGACUCUGGUGGAGGCUGGCUGAAGAAGAAGCGGAGAAAGGACGCGAUCUAUGGAGUUCUCCAUGGUUUCUUUGAAGCUAGAACUAAAAUUGCUGUAUUCACAAGUGUGUGUUCUGAUCAUAUAAUGAAGUGGAUUAAUCACAUCAUGAAAA